AUGGGCGUAGCUCAAUUGGUGGAGCAACGGCCUCCAAAGCCGAAGGUUGCGGGUUCGAUUCCUGCCGCCCGUG
rnacentral:tRNA from 1 species